CAAAAACCUGCUGUGUCUCCAGGGUCCACUGUGCAGGGGUGAGGGGGUGAUUUUGGCAUAUUUGUGCACACUGACACAAGUAAAAGAUCUGAUAUCAAGGAUCCUCAUUUUGAUAUGUAAAGUUAAAAAAAACCCAACAAACUAGAUCAACUAGGCUUGAAAUUCCAGACCGAGUUCCAUAUGGAAAUAAGUCAGUUUUGAAGAGAGAAGGAAAUUACCUGCUAGACCAGUGUAUAGUCCUUUCUCCAGUAAGUAGCCUCUUUAAAUCCAAGAUUAAGUUUAGUACAGUGCCAUAUUUUAUAUCCUUAUAUAUGACAAUGAAACAUCGAAGAGAAAGUUCAUUUCUCCUCCGAGUUCAUGCCCUUGGACAGCUCUGCACCAUCCCUCCUUUAGCAUGAAAGAGGCACUUUUGGUGUUCGUGUGUGUGCUGGCAUCUGCUGGCUGUUGGUAUCAUGGCACUGCUGUAAAUAAUACCCUAAAUGCUAAGAAAUUGUUGUCAGACAAGGUUAUUCCUUUCAAUGAAAUAACUUCCUGCUCUAAAUUAGCCAGAAGUGCCUCUGAGGGGGAAACUCGUGGGUUUCCUCAAGCACUGCUGAUAAAACAGAUGAAAUGAUAAAAAAGGGAUGGUAUCAAAUUUCCCUAUCAGGAAACCACAGAUGUGUUAUUUUUAAAUUUUGAGGUUAGGACAUGUCUGACAUUGAACUCUGCUCAGUUAUGGCACGAAGGCUGUUGGUCUUACAAUGCAGAAAUGAGGGAAGAACAGCUCAGGAGAUUGUGUUCUGCCAUUAGGGAAAAUCAGGGAUGAUUCUGGCAAAGCCAGAGUGAUGGAAUGAAGCAAAUGGAGAGGAUGGGCCCUCAGACAUUUCUUGGUCAGAGCAUCCCUGACUGUGACCAGGACACAGCAGGAACCACGUCUUGCUGAAGAGAGGAUGUUUUGAAAAGUUUAUGUUCAAAAGGAGACACAUGGAAUUGG